rnacentral:rRNA from 1 species
UAGUCGAGUUGGUAGGGUAACGGCCUACCAAGCCGACGAUGCGUAGGGGUUCUGAGAGGAAGGUCCCCCACAUUGGAACUGAGACACGGUCCAAACUCCUACGGAAGGCAGCAG